GCUGGGCGCAGUGGUGCAUGCCUGUAAUCCUAUCAACUUGGGAGGCUAAGGCAGGAGGAUCGAGUUCAAAGCCAGCCUCAGCAAAAGCGAGGCGCUAAGCAACACAGUGAGACCCUGUCUCUA
rnacentral:sRNA from 1 species